ACCACACAACAUAACUCCCGAUAAUAAUUAUUUGUUUUCCCCGCACUAACAACUCAGUUGAUUUGAUAAGUACACAUAAUUGAGCCAUGACAACUGCUAGCUACACAUUAUUGCGAUUUACCUUUCCACUAUCCUGUUAGAUUGGAUGUAGGGUCUGGAGUUUAGGAAAUUUCACAUUUUGUGAGAAGUGUGGGAUGUAGAAGACAACACACAUCCGUAUGAAGGAACAUCUUGAGUGUAUUAUUAUUCACAGAAAUGGGAAAACCUUAUCUUAAUGAAAUUGAUGUUAAGGUUGGGAAGUUGGCGGUUUGAUUGGUACACUGAAAGAUGAAAGACAAAGAAAGCAAUUGUUUUUAAGGGUCUCAACGUUGUUGUUGUUGGCAAGAGGUGUGUGCCCACUCUCCAAGGGAAGUUGAAUAGUUGUACACUUGUUGUACUUAAUUUAUUACUGUGCUGCUGCGGUUGUAUUAAAUUCAACUUCUUGGGACUGCCUAUGCUUCUGUCUGCAUCUCUCUUCUUUUGUUGUUGAGGUAUCAUGUAGUAUUCAUUUGCUAGCUGUUAAUUAGGUUUCAUCCAUUUAUUGAUUGGCAUUUUUGUGAAAUCAAUAUUAUAUAAAUUUGUGA